rnacentral:rRNA from 1 species
GUGUCAGCCGCCGCGGUAAUACGUAGGGGGCGAGCGUUGUCCGGAAUUACUGGGCGUAAAGGGUACGUAGGCGGCUAGGUAAGUCAGAUGUGAAAUCCAUGGGCUCAACCCAUGUAAGCAUUUGAAACUGCUUAGCUUGAGUUAAGGAGAGGAAAGUGGAAUUCCUGGUGUAGCGGUGAAAUGCGUAGAUAUCAGGAGGAAUACCAGUGGCGAAGGCGACUUUCUGGUCUUAAACUGACGCUGAGGUACGAAAGCGUGGGGAGCAAACAGGAUUAGAUACCCUGGUAGUCCACGCCGUAAACGAUGAGUGCUAGGUGUCGGGGGUUUAACCUUCGGUGCCGCAGUUAACACAUUAAGCACUCCGCCUGGGGAGUACGUUCGCAAGAAUGAAACUCAAAGAAAUUGACGG